UACUUCAGUAUUCCAUAGUAACAUCUGACAAAAAUAUCUAAAGACACUGAAGCACUGAAUAAUUGUGUCAUUCUCAAAACUUUUGACCAUGACUGUAAAUAUUUAAAUAUAUAUAUAUUUACCCCAAAAACAUAUGGGGAAUUGGAAAUGAUUCAGACAACUACAUUGCUGGAAGCAACAAUCUAUCCGAAAAUAUUAAAGUUGACCCACCCCUUAAAACAAAGACAGUGAGCAAGAGAGAGAGAGUUCGAGGAGGAGGGUGGAAACUGUUUAGUCUUAUAUGAACCUUGAUCAUGUGAUAUCCUGUAUGACAGAAAAUGAAACUUAAAAGCAGACCCUCUUUCGUUUGCAUAAUGACACACCCUUGUCAUAACUUUCUCAAUAACUGUUCUAAAGAAAUCUGUUGAAUCACUCUUAUCUUCCCCGUACCCUGAGAUCAACAUCACCUAGACAACAUUAACGGCAUUUACACAACCAUGUGGGCAGAAGAUGACUUCACUCUUCCCUCUGGGGUAGUGCGACUGGGCCUAUCUGAAGCACAAGAUGGCUAUACCUACAUCAUGUACCACGGCACAACUCAGCAGGCAGCAAAUCAAAUCCUGUACACUGGUUUUCGGCAGUCUGCUGGUGGUAUGUUGGGGCGUGGAGUUUACCUCAGCCGAGACCUGGAGAAGGCAAGCAGGUACCCCCUGGUGCUUCUUGAAAAUCAGAGGGUUGUCAUCCGAGUCAAAGUCAAUGUGGGCAAGGUGAAAAGAAUUGACAAUCAGUAUCAUGCUCUGCGGACAACCUGGCAUGAGAACGGUUACGACACCGCCUGGGUUCCUCCUAACUGUGGUAUGGUGAAGAGUGGUCUAGAAGAGGACUGUGUCUGGGAUCCAAAACGCAUCACUGUCUUAGAUUUCAUCCAGCCUAAAAUACAACAGCCCCAGGGUCCUUCACGCUGGUGUGUAAUAAUAUGAAGAGAAAAUACAGUGAAUGUAUUUCAACAGUAUGUCAUUUAGACUCAUUGACUAAAACAACAGCUGAUUUUGACCAAUAAAUUGUUACAACAAUAAACUGUCA